rnacentral:rRNA from 1 species
UACGUAGGGUGCGAGCGUUGUCCGGAAUUAUUGGGCGUAAAGAGCUCGUAGGCGGUCUGUCGCGUCGAUCGUGAAAACUCGGGGCUCAACUCCGAGCUUGCAUUCGAUACGGGCAGGCUAGAGUUCGGUAGGGGAGACUGGAAUUCCUGGUGUAGCGGUGAAAUGCGCAGAUAUCAGGAGGAACACCGGUGGCGAAGGCGGGUCUCUGGGCCGAUACUGACGCUGAGGAGCGAAAGCGUGGGGAGCGAACAGG